rnacentral:rRNA from 1 species
AGAGUUUGAUCCUGGCUCAGGACGAACGCUGGCGGCGCGCCUAACACAUGCAAGUCGAACGGAGCUUAGAGAGCUUGCUUUUUAAGCUUAGUGGCGAACGGGUGAGUAACGCGUGAGUAACCUGCCCUGGAGUGGGGGACAACAGUUGGAAACGACUGCUAAUACCGCAUAAGCCCACGGAUUCGCAUGGAUCUGCGGGAAAAGGAUUUAUUCGCUUCAGGAUGGACUCGCGUCCAAUUAGCUAGUUGGUGAGGUAACGGCCCACCAAGGCGACGAUUGGUAGCCGGACUGAGAGGUUGAACGGCCACAUUGGGACUGAGACACGGCCCAGACUCCUACGGGAGGCAGCAGUGGGGGAUAUUGCACAAUGGGGGAAACCCUGAUGCAGCGACGCCGCGUGGAGGAAGAAGGUUUUCGGAUUGUAAACUCCUGUCGUUAGGGACGAUAAUGACGGUACCUAACAAGAAAGCACCGGCUAACUACGUGCCAGCAGCCGCGGUAAAACGUAGGGUGCAAGCGUUGUCCGGAAUUACUGGGUGUAAAGGGAGCGCAGGCGGACCGGCAAGUUGGAAGUGAAAACUAUGGGCUCAACCCAUAAAUUGCUUUCAAAACUGCUGGCCUUGAGUAGUGCAGAGGUAGGUGGAAUUCCCGGUGUAGCGGUGGAAUGCGUAGAUAUCGGGAGGAACACCAGUGGCGAAGGCGACCUACUGGGCACCAACUGACGCUGAGGCUCGAAAGCAUGGGUAGCAAACAGGAUUAGAUACCCUGGUAGUCCAUGCCGUAAACGAUGAUUACUAGGUGUUGGAGGAUUGACCCCUUCAGUGCCGCAGUUAACACAAUAAGUAAUCCACCUGGGGAGUACGACCGCAAGGUUGAAACUCAAAGGAAUUGACGGGGGCCCGCACAAGCAGUGGAGUAUGUGGUUUAAUUCGAAGCAACGCGAAGAACCUUACCAGGUCUUGACAUCCGAUGCAUAGUGCAGAGAUGCAUGAAGUCCUUCGGGACAUCGAGACAGGUGGUGCAUGGUUGUCGUCAGCUCGUGUCGUGAGAUGUUGGGUUAAG